GAGAGAGAGAAAAGAUCUUUGAAGAGAGAGUUCAAAAGGGCGUGAAACCGCUUAGAAUAAAACGGACGGAGCCGUUAGUGACCCUCCGGAAUCAGUCGUACGAUUCGCGAUGACGCGUUAUUCGCUAGAGCGAAAGUCUAGCUGGCGCGUUCGAAUAUAGUAGCGUUCGUUCGAUGCAUUUCCGGAGGGUAAGCGCCGCGACCGAUGCGAAAGGCUACGAAAUCGUCGAAUUGCGGUCGACGYUCCUUCUCACUUGUGGGAUGGUUCUGUCGUUACCAGUUUGUCGAUGUAAAAACAUAUCGUAGUACUCGAGCAUCGACAGCCAUCGAAUACGCGCCGGCGAAUAAUAUAAAAAAGCGCUCGUUUAAGCGAUGGAUAGUCGACGGAUUCKAUCGACGCCUGCUCGCAGGUUUCGUUUCKAUCUCGUUCGAUCUUUGAAGUCGCGGGCGACGUUUUAUACGGCGUUAUGGCGUCAGCGGCGUCCGAGACGGUCAACCGUCCGACCCGUCUUGAAACACGGACCAAGGAGUCUAACGUACGCGCGAGCUAAUAGGUGGAAAACCUAUAAGCGCAAUAAAAGUAAAAGCCGUCUUAUCGAUGGUGUCGGGUACGAUCCUUGGACACACACCACCAGUGUGUGUACUAKGCGCAGUACCAUCCCGUCCUAACCACUCKUUGGUAGGGCGGAGAUUGAGUGCAUACGUUGGGACCCGAAAGAUGGUGAACUAUGCCUGAGCAGAGCGAAGCCAGAGGAAACUCUGGUGGAGGUUCGUAGCGGUUCUGACGUGCAAAUCKAUCGUCAGACUUGUGUAUA
rnacentral:rRNA from 1 species